UACGUUGGAAACAGAUCAAAGAAACUUGUCGUUUCUCUACAAAAAUAGUUGACGUAAAUUAUAAAUUUAAUUGUCAACCCUAAAAAAUUAAUUUAUCAUAAUUUAAUUAAUAAACUAGUUUGUGUGUCCAUCAAAUUGCCAGUGGAAAUAUUAAAAUGAGCAACAAUGGCCGCAGAUCUAUCAUCAAUCUAACCUAAAGUUCAUUUGUCAAUAAAAAUAAAUUGAAUAUAUCAAGAAUAAGACACGAAUUCGUAAAAAAAAACAAUUCAGUUGAUCUAUAGAUAUUUUUAAUAGUCACUCGUUGAUUCGUCCAUUGCCUACUAAAUCAAAGGAAUUUUUUUUACCUUAACUUCAGUAAGAGGAUAUCGGCGAAUUGAUUGAAGCAGCUGAAAUUUCAUUCUGAUAUCAAUAAAAAAAAAACGAUUGUGAAGCUUCUUUACUUGGGGCAGUGAUAAAAACUGAGUUCUUCUAAAGUUUUUGUCAAAAAAAUGUAUCAUAGAUCAAGAAUACAUGCAACUGCAAUUUAAAAAGCGAAAUUUUAUUCCUGCGGAAUUGAUUUUGAAUUUAUUUUUUCAAGACUCAAUAAAUCUCUUUGUAUGAAAUCACAGUAUCAAAAAUCUUUUAUUAUUCCUUGAUUAUUAUUUGUUAUUAAGAUUAUUUCAUCAUUAAGUGAAGCAAAGGGCAUCAACUGAUAAAUCACAUGUUUUCGUAUGCUUCUGGAAAUAAAAAUUUAUUUCAAGAUACGCGCGGCUCAUUCUUGCGAAAAAUUUGUUACAUUUUAACAGAAAUUUCGAUUUAAGAAAAUAAUAGUAACGCAAAUGACUCGAAUUUACUUUUUAAAAGACAAUUUAUUACGAAUGACGACUUUAAUAUAAAAAAAACCUAAAUUCAAUGCAAAUGCAAUUACUAGCAAUUUGAUGGACGCAGAAACUAGUUCAUUAAUUAAAAUAUAAUAAAUGAAUUGUUUAGAGUUGACAAUUAAAUUUAUAAUUUGCGUUAACUAUUUUUGUAGGGAAACGACAAGUUUCUUUGAUGCUUUUCCAACGUAGAUCGCAUGCGCACUGAGAAAC